AUUUUCUUUUCUUUUACAUCUAGCUUAAAGGGGUUAAAUGCUUCCCACGGGUGGCAAAAGUUCAGACACAUUUAAGCAGUUCAGACUCCAAUCCUUCUUUAUCUCACAACACUUUGGUUAAAAGUUUCGAAGAAUUUGAUGUUAGAAUUUCAAUCAAUCAUACCCUAUAUAUAAAAUAUAUGCCAUAGCCCUUUUCGAGACUUUCUACCAUUUAUCCUCAUCCUGAUCCACACUUGGCAUGGAGUAAUGAGGUAAAGUAAGAAAAUCAUGCAAAACAUUAUCAUAACAUUGCAGUAAAUUCAUUAUCAUAACAUUGCAGUAAAUUCUCAAAGCUAAUUAAGCUAACUUUUUUAUGCAAGCCCGUUCACCUGUCUUGCUUUCUGCAUCGCCUUUCUCUGUGCUAAGCUAACGUGCACUUUUGAUAGAGAGCACAUUUUUCAUGUCCUAGUUAUUAUAGCCCUCACUGCCAAAGCUAUGCCUAUGCUAAUGCCUCAAUAUUUCAGCUGCAUCUUGUGUCAUGUGUGUGUUGCAGCUAGCUAGCUAUAUCUCGAGGCUCUAGCUUGAAAUAGCUUUGCACCUGUGAGCUUUUUUCUGUUCAGAGUUUUGAUAUUUCUUGGAAUUAAUUUCUUUAAAUUCUUGGCUGUCGGUUGAAGUAAUUAAUUUUGUUUGACUUACUGGCCUGCGUACUGUGGAUGGUUGAGGAGUUUAUCACCACUUGCUUUAUAGUUUAAAUGAACUGGGUUAGCGUUAAUUAUUAAUGAAUAAUGAUUGCUCAUCGUAAUUAGCGGUGAGAGAGUUAACUAUUAAAGAUGUUUUUUGAAUCUUAAAUAAAUAAUGAAUUGAUUUAUUGAUGGUGGUAAGUAAUGCUUAUAUCUUAAUUAAUGCAAGACCACCAACAUGAUAUUUAAUUGAAAGAGCUUAGCACCACCCUCUAUUUUUCUAUAAAUGUACGACAAAUGUGGCUCUCUCACGGUCACAUGUGAAUGACUUGCAUCUGAUUUUUUUUUAAUUUUUUUUUAUUUCUAUACGUAGGAGGGUUUAGAGCUCAAAGAUUUUUACAAAAUAAGGGAAGAGACUAAUUAAUACCAAUUUAACUACUACUUAUUAUUAUUAUUAUUAUUAUUAUUAUUAUUAUCAAUUAGGAAUUGUUUAAACCUUAUUAGAGUUGAUGUAGAUCAUUAUUAGAGCUUUACUCGAUUAUUUAACCUUUAGAUAUUGAAAUGGUUAUAUAAUAUGAUAUUAUAAUUUCAGUAAUCAAACCCUCACAAAUUCUAAUUCUAAAAUUAAAAUAGGCAUGUGCAAGUUUAAAAUAUAAAAGACUUUCAUUUGAAAAUAUAUGUUAAAAAUAAUAUAAAAUUAUUUUUAAAACCUCAUCAACCAAAUUUCACUUCUUUUUUAUACUAAAAUCGUUAUUUGACAAGUCUAAAUAAAAAUGAAGGAUAUAUCAAGCUAUUAUUCAUGGGUUUGUCUAGAUUAUUCUUAUAAACUUAGUUUGGUUAGUAAAUAGUUAUAUCUUCUCACGUUAUUAUUUAGAAUUUGAAUUUUAAAGAAGAUUUUGAGAAAAUUAGCAACAAUCUAAAAAUGGAUAAUCUUUUUAAAAUCCAACAAGAAAAAUGCUUUGAUGAAUUCGUGAAAAAAUUUGCAUAAAAAAUAUGUUUUUCACAAGCUACUAUCUUGAGUCAAGAUGUGUGGGCUUAAUAUGUGCCUUGUAUCUAGGCUUAAUGAUUGUUGGGCUCAUCGGUGAUUGAAAGUUUGCUUUAAAAAACAAGCUCCUUGUGGAACGAGAGGCUCUCCAAUGCUUAAGACAAUAGGUGUAUAAGAGAAAAAAAAUAUGAGAAAAUUGAGAGAAAGUGUAAGUUUAGAGAAGUGUCGAGUAUGAAAAAUAUGACUUAUGUUUACCUAAUGAUCCAAGGUAUUAAUAAACUCUGGUCACACUCACCUCAUGAUGUUGAAUGUUUCACAAUUGGUGGAAAUGUCAGUGCCCACCAUUGGUUAUGAUGUCUUGCACUGCUAGUAGUGAAGAGAUUGAUGAAUUUUAGUGACACGUUGGCUAAAAAUAGUUAUUGGUGGCAAAAGAAGGUGCAUGAUUUGCAUAGAAUAUGGUGUGUGUUACAUUAUAACUAUUGGCUAGAUAUGUAAUGCCAUCUUGCAUAAAAGUUUAUACUUGCAGAGAAUCUAUCAUUUCAUGCUUCGAAAAGUUUGUGUGCAUGGGCAAUACGUGGUGCCGUGUUUUGACUUCUCAUAACUUGAAACAAAUUCAUGAUGUGCAUAUUGGAAAAUUCGUGUGGUGAAAAAAAAAAGACGGAAGAUGUGUUAGUGAGAGGUAGGGAGAUAAUGUGUGAGACAAAAUAUAGGAGCGAAGAGAAAAUUUGGUCAUUUAGAUUUUGACCUAAAUGAGAUGGCAUGGUUGGUGGCCAUGCACGUCAUGGGGUGGUGAUUGACCAUGUCGUUUAGGUGAAGCCCAAAUGAUGUGAAGUGAUUUCUUUUUCUUAAACUUAUACACCAUCAUUUACCCCUCAAAUCUUGUAAAAAGACACGUUUGGAAGACUUUAAUCGGUAAAAGUGAGGGAGAAAAUAUUUACUGUAUAGAGUGAAAUUUUAUGGCCAUAAGAAUGUUACCAUGGUUAGCCAUUUAAAUGUUUGCAUUUUUUUUUAUUUUACAAAAUGUUUGCAUGAGAGUUCUCUUCGUGUAAGCUUUUUUCAACAUUUCAAUAGAAUAAUCAUUGAUCCUAUUAGAGAUAAUUAAGUAUAAGGACUCGAUAAAGGAUCCUUAAUCCUUUUGGAAACUAAUGGUCGUAAAGACCUAGAGCAGGAUCCCUGAUUCUUUCUAGAGACAUGUAUAGAGAUUCUAGAGACAUGUAUAGAGAUUCGAUAGAGACAAGUUUAGAGAUAUGAAGAUCUAACCAUAGAGAUUUCCAAAAAGACACAUUUGGAUCUUUAUGGAGACACGUUUGAAGAUAUAAAGAUCUCAUCAUGGAGAUUUUCAUGGAGACACGUCUGAAUACAUGGAGACACGUCUGAAUACAUAGAGACAUGACAUAUGGAGUUUCAUGGAGACAUGUUUAAAACAUAGAGAUUAUUAUAGAGACAUUUUUGAAGCUUUUAAUGGAGAUUUUUGUUGGAGACAUUAAAGAUAUAAAGAAAAGAUGUUGCUUUAUAGAGAUACAAUUCUCAAAGCUGAUUUGAAAAUUAUCUGAUCUUAGAUAGAUCAUUAAGUGUGCAGACUUCAUUCUUUCAUUCCUUUCAUGCUUAGUUUUUUCUUUUUUCAUAAACCAGUGAAUGUACCCUCUAGUGCUCAAUUUUUCUAUCUUUUUUUUAAGGCAUGACAUUCCUCAUUUUCAUAUCCAUGGUCACAGUAAAAAAAACUUAUUAAGGUUCUUCAUGUUUGCACCGCUUUUCAUGGAAGGAGGAUAUUGUAUAAUUUCCCUCCCUAUAAUAGUAACUAGCACCUCAGUUCGUGCAUGGGGAAUAUCAAGCGAUCAUAAGUGUUCUUUAGUGCUCUUUUGGAUGCUUUAGUUAGAGACUAGUGAUAUUGGAAAGACUCAACUCAGUGGAAAUAUAAGUGAUUUUAUCUUAUCACGCUAACUUCUUCAACCCUUAUAUAAUUUUUCAUGGCAUGUUUGAUGUUGAUAACAUUUUUAUUAGGGAACUGUUUAACGUUUACUAUAGGGAAUAAUUGUAUACUUUCCUAAUUAGAGCUUAUAUGAUGAUGAAUCCAAUUAGUCUUUUCACAUUGAGCAUUUCCUCGUUAAACCUUUAAAGAUAGAACACAAUGCUCUUAUCUUCUUGUUGUGUGAUGGCAAAGAUCUCACUGGUGCUAUUUUUAGCUAAAAUGCUUGUGAUGAAGUGAGAGAUGAGUUUAGAGUUGAAAUCAUAAAAAUUGAAAGAUUGAGUUAGGCUCUAGGCUAUAGUAUCAUGCGUGUACAGAUACACGAAAGUUUUUUAUAAAGAACUUUGUAUAUAACAUCAUUGUCUUGUGUGACUGUGACAAGCUCGAAGAUGUUUCUCAUAUUUUGUAUGUGUUGUCAGGGUCUAUAAGGCCUUUAUAAUUGUCUAAGUUUGUUUUUGUAGAUACAAAGUCUGAGGAGUGUCAAGUGUAUGGUACUCUAUGACAAAAUGGAGAUUUUUCCACUUGUCGGGGCUUGUAUUCAAAAGCUUGUUGGGUCAUGGAUCUUUUCUCACACCUAGAUCAUUUUUCUUUCCAAGUGAAACUCAAAUGGAGAUCAAUGAUGAUUGGAUCCUUAUUUGAAGCACCUUAUAUGAGAACGAUGGAUGUAGCUACUUCUUAGUAUAAAGUGUAAGAGCUACUCACUUGUAUGUCAUUUUUUUCUCUAUCUCUUCACGGAACUAGAGUCAUCAUUACAUAUUUGAUGGUGGAUGCAUGAGAGCUUGUUGAUUGAUAGUAGCCAAAAUAACUCAUCAUUUUGAAAACGACAAGGUAGUAGUCAAAACGG
rnacentral:lncRNA from 1 species